rnacentral:rRNA from 1 species
AACGAACGCUGGCGGCGUGCCUAACACAUGCAAGUCGAACGAGAAAGGGGCUUCGGCCCUGAGUAAAGUGGCGCACGGGUGAGUAACACGUAGGUAACCUACCUCUAAGUUUAGGACAACCUGUCGAAAGAUGAGCUAAUACUGAAUGAGACCACAGUUUCUUCGGAAGCAGAGGUCAAAGGUAGCCUCUAUUUAUAAGCUAUCACUUAGAGAUGGGCCUGCGUACCAUUAGCUAGUUGGUGAGGUAACGGCUCACCAAGGCAAAGAUGGUUAGCUGGUCUGAGAGGAUGAUCAGCCACACUGGAACUGAGACACGGUCCAGACUCCUACGGGAGGCAGCAGUGGGGAAUAUUGCGCAAUGGGCGAAAGCCUGACGCAGCAACGCCGCGUGAGUGAUGAAGGCCUU